UACGGGGGGGGCAAGCGUUGUUCGGAAUUACUGGGCGUAAAGGGCUCGUAGGCGGCCAACUAAGUCGGACGUGAAAUCCCUCGGCUCAACCGGGGAACUGCGUCCGAUACUGGAUGGCUUGAGUUCGGGAGAGGGAUGCGGAAUUCCAGGUGUAGCGGUGAAAUGCGUAGAUAUCUGGAGGAACACCGAUGGCGAAGGCAGAUCUCUGGGCCGUAACUGACGCUGAGGAGCGAAAGCGUGGGGAGCGAACAGG
rnacentral:rRNA from 1 species